GAUGAACGCUGACAGAAUGCUUAACACAUGCAAGUCAACUUGAAUUUGGGUUUUUAACUUAGGUUUGGGUGGCGGACGGGUGAGUAGCGCGUAAAGAACUUGCCUCACAGCUAGGGACAACAUUUGGAAACGAAUGCUAAUACCUAAUAUUAUGAUAAUAGGGCAUCCUAUAAUUAUGAAAGCUAUAAGCGCUGUGAGAGAGCUUUGCGUCCCAUUAGCUAGUUGGAGAGGUAACGGCUCACCAAGGCGAUGAUGGGUAGCCGGCCUGAGAGGGUGAUCGGCCACAAGGGGACUGAGACACGGCCCUUACGCCUACGGGAGGCAGCAGUGGAGAAUAUUGGACAAUGGACCGAGAGUCUGAUCCAGCAAUUCUGUGUGCACGAUGAAGUUUUUCGGAAUGUAAAGUGCUUUCAGUUGGGAAGAAACAAAUGACGGUACCAACAGAAGAAGUGACGGCUAAAUACGUG
rnacentral:rRNA from 1 species